UGCCAGCAGCCGCGGUAAUACGAAGGGUGCUAGCGUUGUUCGGAAUUACUGGGCUUAAAGGGUUCGUAGGCGGCUAUGAAGGUGGGGUGUGAAAUCCCUCGGCUCAACCGAGGAACUGCGCUCCAAACCACAUGGCUUGAGGGAGACAGAGGUAAGCGGAACUGAUGGUGGAGCGGUGAAAUGCGUUGAUAUCAUCAGGAACACCGGUGGCGAAGGCGGCUUACUGGGUCUCUUCUGACGCUGAGGAACGAAAGCUAGGGGAGCGAACGGGAUUAGAUA
rnacentral:rRNA from 1 species